AGAGUUUGAUCCUGGCUCAGGACGAACGCUGGCGGCGUGCCUAACACAUGCAAGUCGAACGGAGAAUUUCAAGAAGCUUGCUUUGAGAAAUUUUUAGUGGCGGACGGGUGAGUAACGCGUGGGUAACCUACCCAUAAACCCGGGACAACCCUUGGAAACGAGGGCUAAUACCGGAUAAACUUAUAGCUUGGCAUCAAGGAAUAAGAAAAGGUGGCCUCUGAAAAUGCUACCGAUUAUGGAUGGACCCGCGUCUGAUUAGCUAGUUGGUGGGGUAAAGGCCUACCAAGGCGACGAUCAGUAGCCGGCCUGAGAGGGUGAACGGCCACACUGGGACUGAGACACGGCCCAGACUCCUACGGGAGGCAGCAGUGGGGAAUCUUCCGCAAUGGACGAAAGUCUGACGGAGCAACGCCGCGUGUAUGAUGAAGGUCUUCGGAUUGUAAAGUACUGUCUUUGGGGAAGAAUGACUGAUUUGAGAAUAUUGAGUCAGUAUGACGGUACCCAAGGAGGAAGCCCCGGCUAACUACGUGCCAGCAGCCGCGGUAAUACGUAGGGGGCAAGCGUUGUCCGGAAUCACUGGGCGUAAAGGGUGCGUAGGUGGCUCAUCAAGCCAGAGGUGAAAGGCAUUGGCUCAACCAAUGUAAGCCUUUGGAACUGACGAGCUUGAGUGCAGGAGAGGUAAGUGGAAUUCCUAGUGUAGAGGUGAAAUUCGUAGAUAUUAGGAGGAACACCAGUGGCGAAGGCGACUUACUGGACUGUAACUGACACUGAGGCACGAAAGCGUGGGGAGCGAACAGGAUUAGAUACCCUGGUAGUCC
rnacentral:rRNA from 1 species